GAGGAAGGCGAUCUGCUCUGCGGGUGGUUGUUCCAGAGGUCCCUGCGGCAAGAGAAUACAAAUCGCCGAAUUUCCGCAGGGGUUAAAGUUACCGUCGGCAGAGGGGCGAGGGGUGAAAAGAACACAAAACGCUUUCUAUUUCACUGAGAAAACAGAAGCAGUCAUAGGAGGACUUCCGCAAGGUCCCCAUCUACCUGCAUCAUUCAUAGGAAGUGAUGCAGAUUAAGAUGUACCCACCUUCAACAAAUCGGAGAGAGGGAGAGAAACAGAGACAGAGAGAAAGAGACACAGAAAGAAAGAGGCUGGUUGAAGACAGAACAGACUUGCAGACGAAGCAACCAAAUAGAUGUGUGAACUUUAUUUCAAUCCUGAUUAGGUCAAGAAACCUAUUAAGUGCUGUUCUGAGAAAAUCAGGGAAAUUUAAAUAUAUAUUAUGUAUUAGAUGCUACAAAAAUUGAAUGUAAAUUUUGUUAGGCAUAAAUUUGUGGAUAUGUAAUAAUUUUCCCUGUUAAUAGAGAGUCGUACUGAAAUAUAAAUGGUGAUGUUCCAUGAUAUCUAGAUUUACUUUAACAUACUUCAGAUAAAAAGAAAUAAAAUUUUUAACAAAGAGA